rnacentral:piRNA from 1 species
UGUGAUGUUCAGGUCACCAGCAGGCUU